rnacentral:rRNA from 2 species
UCUGAAUCUGCGUACGGCUCCGCAAACCAGUUGUAAACUAUAGCAAGCAAGCCCGGGGUCGGCCUUCACGGGCUGGUUCCGGGUGAUAUGGAUAACCCUGGUAAUUCUGAGGCUAAUACAUGACCGUAAAACCUAGCUGACCGGCUUCGGCUGGGAUGCUGGGGGACGUGUGAUUUGGGCUUGGUAACACCGGGAAGGGGCGCACGUCUAGACCACCGUAAAGGUCGGUCUCCUCCUCGGAGGGGGUCGUCUCAGUGGCUCUUGCUGUGUGCUUCUGACCUAUCAACUAGACGGCAGCGUAAGGGACAUGCUAUGGU